rnacentral:rRNA from 1 species
GAUGAACGCUGGCGGCGUGCUUAACACAUGCAAGUCGAACGAGAAGUGGAGACGGAAACCUUCGGGCGGAAGACUUUACUUCGAGUGGCGGACGGGUGAGUAACGCGUGGGUAACCUGCCUCGUACAGGGGGAUAACAGUUGGAAACGACUGUUAAUACCGCAUAAGACCACAGCACCGCAUGGUGCGGGGGUAAAAACUCCGGUGGUAUGAGAUGGACCCGCGUUCGAUUAGCCAGUUGGCGGGGUAACGGCCCACCAAAGCGACGAUCGAUAGCCGAUCUGAGAGGAUGACCGGCCACAUUGGGACUGAGACACGGCCCAAACUCCUACGGGAGGCAGCAGUGGGGAAUAUUGCACAAUGGGGGAAACCCUGAUGCAGCGACGCCGCGUGAGUGAAGAAGUAUUUCGGUAUGUAAAGCUCUAUCAGCAGGGAAGAAAAUGACAGUACCUGAGUAAGAAGCCCCGGCUAACUACGUG